rnacentral:piRNA from 1 species
UCCCAGACAUUGUCUGAGAGGAGCUGGA